rnacentral:rRNA from 1 species
UAGGGAAUCUUCGGCAAUGGACGAAAGUCUGACCGAGCAACGCCGCGUGAGUGAAGAAUGUUUUCGGAUCGUAAAACUCUGUUGUUAGAGAAGAACAAGGACGUUAGUAACUGAACGUCCCCUGACGGUAUCUAACCAGAAAGCCACGGCUAACUACGUGCCAGCAGCCGCGGUAAUACGUAGGUGGCAAGCGUUGUCCGGAUUUAUUGGGCGUAAAGCGAGCGCAGGCGGUUUCUUAAGUCUGAUGUGAAAGCCCCCGGCUCAACCGGGGAGGGUCAUUGGAAACUGGGAGACUUGAGUGCAGAAGAGGAGAGUGGAAUUCCAUGUGUAGCGGUGAAAUGCGUAGAUAUAUGGAGGAACACCAGUGGCGAAGGCGGCUCUCUGGUCUGUAACUGACGCUGAGGCUCGAAAGCGUGGGGAGCAAACAGG